GACGAACGCUGGCGGCGUGCUUAACACAUGCAAGUCGAACGCUGAAGCCCUUUCGGGGGUGGAUGAGUGGCGAACGGGUGAGUAACACGUGGGUAAUCUGCCCUGCACUCUGGGAUAAGCCUUGGAAACGGGGUCUAAUACCGGAUAGGAGACAUCGCCGCAUGGUGUGUGUGUGGAAAGUUCCGGCGGUGCAGGUUGAGCCCGCGGCCUAUCAGCUUGUUGGUGGGGUGAUGGCCUACCAAGGCGACGACGGGUAGCCGGCCUGAGAGGGUGAACGGCCACAGUGGGACUGAGACACGGCCCAGACUCCUACGGGAGGCAGCAGUGGGGAAUCUUGCGCAAUGGGCGAAAGCCUGACGCAGCAACGCCGCGUGGGGAUGACGGCCUUCGGGUUGUAAACCUCUUUCGACCGGGACGAAGGGUGACUGACGGUACCGGUAGAAGAAGCACCGGCUAACUACGUGCCAGCCGCCGCCGUAA
rnacentral:rRNA from 1 species